GGUAGGCCUUACAAAUGGCAAGUCGAACGGCAGGCACAAGGAGAGCUUGCUCUCUGGGUGGCGAGUGGCGGACGGGUGAGGAAUACAUCGGAAUCUACCUUUUCGUGGGGGAUAACGUAGGGAAACUUACGCUAAUACCGCAUACGACCUACGGGUGAAAGUGGGGGACCGCAAGGCCUCACGCGAUUAGAUGAGCCGAUGUCCGAUUAGCUAGUUGGCGGGGUAAUGGCCCACCAAGGCGACGAUCGGUAGCUGGUCUGAGAGGAUGAUCAGCCACACUGGAACUGAGACACGGUCCAGACUCCUACGGGAGGCAGCAGUGGGGAAUAUUGGACAAUGGGCGCAAGCCUGAUCCAGCCAUACCGCGUGGGUGAAGAAGGCCUUCGGGUUGUAAAGCCCUUUUGUUGGGAAAGAAAUCCUGUCGAUUAAUACUCGGUGGGGAUGACGGUACCCAAAGAAUAAGCACCGGCUAACUUCGUGCCAGCAGCCGCGGUAAUACGAAGGGUGCAAGCGUUACUCGGAAUUACUGGGCGUAAAGCGUGCGUAGGUGGUGGUUUAAGUCUGCCGUGAAAGCCCUGGGCUCAACCUGGGAAUUGCAGUGGAUACUGGAUCACUAGAGUGUGGUAGAGGGAUGCGUAAUUUCUGGUGUAUCAGUGAAAUGCGUAGAGAUCAGAGGGAACAUCCGUGGCGAAGGCGGCAUCCUGGGCCAACACUGACACUGAGGCACGAAAGCGUGGGAGCAAACAGGAUUAGAUACCCUGGUAGUCCACGCCCUAAACGAUGCGAACUGGAUGUUGGGGUGCACUUGGGCACCCAGUAUUCGAACCUAA
rnacentral:rRNA from 1 species